rnacentral:rRNA from 1 species
CCUACGGGAGGCAGCAGUAGGGAAUUUUUCACAAUGGGCGAAAGCCUGAUGGAGCAACGCCGCGUGCAGGAUGAAGGCCUUCGGGUUGUAAACUGCUUUUAUAAGCGAGAAAUAUGAUGGUAAGUUAUGAAUAAGGAUCGGCUAACUACGUGCCAGCAGGCGCGGUCAUACGUAGGAUCCGAGCAUUAUCCGGAGUGACUGGGUGUAAAGAGUUGCGUAGGUGGCAUAAUAAGUAGCUAGUGAAAUCUGGUGGCUCAACCAUUCAGACUAUUAGCUAAACUGUUAAGCUCGAGACUGUUAGGGGUAACUGGAAUGUCUAGUGUAGGAGUGAAAUGCGUAGAUAUUAGAAGGAACACCAAUAGCGUAGGCAGGUUACUGGGACGGUUCUGACACUAAGGCACGAAAGCGUAGGGAGCAAACGGGAUUAGAUACCCUGGUAGUC